rnacentral:rRNA from 1 species
UAACGCGUGAGAAUCUGCCCUCAGGACGGGGACAACAGCUGGAAACGGCUGCUAAUACCCGAUGUGCCGAGAGGUGAAAUCUAAUUGGCCUGAGGAUGAGCUCGCGUCUGAUUAGCUAGUUGGUAGGGUAAGAGCCUACCAAGGCGACGAUCAGUAGCUGGUCUGAGAGGAUGAUCAGCCACACUGGGACUGAGACACGGCCCAGACUCCUACGGGAGGCAGCAGUGGGGAAUUUUCCGCAAUGGGCGCAAGCCUGACGGAGCAAGACCGCGUGCGGGAUGAAGGUCUGUGGACUGUAAACCGCUUUUGAUAGGGAAGAACACAAUGACGGUACCUAUCGAAUCAGCCUCGGCUAACUCCGUGCCAGCAGCCGCGGUAAUACGGAGGAGGCAAGCGUUAUCCGGAAUUAUUGGGCGUAAAGCGUCCGUAGGUGGUGAUGCAAGUCUAUUGUCAAAGCAUGAGGCUUAACCUCAUACCGGCAGUGGAAACUGCAUUGCUAGAGUGCGAUAGGGGCAAGGGGAAUUCCCAGUGUAGCGGUGAAAUGCGUAGAUAUUGGGAAGAACAUCGGUGGCGAAAGCGCCUUGCUGGGUCUGCACUGACACUGAGGGACGAAAGCUAGGGGAGCGAAAGGCAUUAGAUACCCCUGUACUCACGCGUUAUC